rnacentral:rRNA from 1 species
GACGAACGCUGGCGGCGUGCUUAACACAUGCAAGUCGAACGGAGUGGCGAACGGGUGAGUAACACGUGGGUGACCUGCCCUGCACUUCGGGAUAAGCCUGGGAAACUGUGUCUACUACCGGAUAGUGUGGGAUGGGCCCGCGGCCUAUCAGCUUGUUGGUGGGGUAAUGGCCGACCAAGGCGGCGCCGGGUAGCCGGCCUGAUAGGGUGGACGGCCACCUUGGGACUGCGACACGGCGCAGACGCGUACGGGGGGCAGUAGUGGGGAAUAUUGCGCAAUGGGCGGAAGCCUAAUGCAGCGACGCCGCGUGGGGGAGGACGGCCUUCGGGUUGUAAACGCCUUGCGCCAGCGACGCGGUAGAUGGAGAAGAAGCACCGGCUAACUACGUGCCAGCAGCCGCGGUAAUUC